AAUAAGUAUAAUUUUAUAUUGUUCAUGUCUAUCGUUUAACUGUCCGUCUUAUUUAAAAAAAAAUAUGAUUAGUAUUUUUAUUGAACAUGAAUAAUACUUUAUGUGUAUUCAUACUUCAUUUGUGACUAUUUUUUUUAUUUUUUCAUAAAUCUUUCAAAUAAGAUGGGCGGUCAAACGUUGCACACGGAUAUUCAUGACUGUACUUAUU
rnacentral:pre_miRNA from 1 species